CGUGACGACACUUUCGCAUCACGUACAGCGACGGUAACUGCCAGUGGAAAUGGAAAUUAGUUACGUAGCAGUUUCUGCAGAUUUCCAACUCUGAACUGGCGGUUUUCCUGGCCUGGGAAUUACGGCACUAUAAAAACAACGAGGAGGCAGAGAGAUGCAGAGGAGGAAACUACAGGAGACGCUGAGAGAGCUGAACCAGGUCCAAAACACCAUGAGGCAAAAGGAGCAGAUGUUGAACACGCCACCAGAGAAUGUCGAGGACUGCUGCUGUGUGUCGGCCCUGACGUGCUUCCGUGCCAACCUCCAGGUUCAGUUCAACCUCACACAGGGAUCACCAAGGAAACUCUACCGGAGCCUGAAG
rnacentral:lncRNA from 1 species